rnacentral:rRNA from 1 species
UACGGAGGGUGCAAGCGUUAUCCGGAUUUACUGGGUUUAAAGGGUGCGUAGGUGGGUAGGUAAGUCAGUGGUGAAAUCUUCGAGCUUAACUCGGAAACUGCCAUUGAUACUAUUUAUCUUGAAUACUCUGGAGGUAAGCGGAAUAUGUCAUGUAGCGGUGAAAUGCUUAGAUAUCGUCAAGAACACCUAUAGCGAAGGCAGCUUACUAGGCUGUAACUGACGCUGAGGCACGAAAAGUGUGGGGAUCAAACAGG